AUUGAACGCUGGCGGCAGGCUUAACACAUGCAAGUCGAGCGGGGGAAGGUAGCUUGCUACCGGACCUAGCGGCGGACGGGUGAGUAAUGCUUAGGAAUCUGCCUAUUAGUGGGGGACAACAUCUCGAAAGGGAUGCUAAUACCGCAUACGUCCUACGGGAGAAAGCAGGGGAUCUUCGGACCUUGCGCUAAUAGAUGAGCCUAAGUCGGAUUAGCUAGUUGGUGGGGUAAAGGCCUACCAAGGCGACGAUCUGUAGCGGGUUGGGGAGGAUGCUCCGCCACACUGGGACUGACACACGGCCCAGACUCCGACAGGAGGCAGCAGUGAGGAAUAUUGGACAAUGGGGGGAACCCUGAUCCAGCCAUGCCGCGUGUGUGAAGAAGGCCUUAUGGUUGUAAAGCACUUUAAGCGAGGAGGAGGCUACUCUAGUUAAUACCUAGGGAUAGUGGACGUUACUCGCAGAAUAAGCACCGGCUAACUCUGUGCCAGCAGCCGCUGUAA
rnacentral:rRNA from 1 species